UACGUAGGUGGCGAGCGUUGUCCGGAAUUACUGGGUGUAAAGCGCGUGUAGGCGGGAGGCCAAGUCUGUGGUGAAAUCGCUCGGCUUAACUGGGCGGGGUCCAUGGAAACUGGUCACCUGGAGGUCGGUAGAGGCAAGUGGAAUUCCCGGUGUAGUGGUGAAAUGCGUAGAGAUCGGGAGGAACACCAGUGGCGAAGGCAGAUCUCUGGGCCGUAACUGACGCUGAGGAGCGAAAGCAUGGGAGCGAACAGG
rnacentral:rRNA from 1 species